CGCUGUUUAACGAGGGGAAUCCAGCCCGUAUAUUUAUUGUAGCCGCUGAAAAAAAUCUCUUCAAUAUCCCCCAAGAUGGCCGCCGAUGUGGGAUCGAUGUUUCAAUAUUGGAAGAAAUUUGAUCUACGGCGGCUUCAGAGGGAGCUGAACUCGGUGGCGUCUCAGCUGGCAGGUCGACAGGAAGAGAGUGACCACUCACACAGACACCUGCUGGAGCUCAGCCGCGAGUUCAAGAAAAAUGUCCCAGAGGAAGUGCGGGAGCUGGUCGCACCAGUCCUCAAGAGUUUCCAGGCCCAGGU